CCUCCUGUCCUCUGUGUGGUGACCCUUGGGAAGAGGUUCUCCCUCCUAGUUCCAGAUUUGGUUUCUACUGGACAGCCACGCAGAGGUCCUUGGUUUGGGUUUUGACUUUGGCUUUUCUGAGAGUGGCCGGGAGCCAUGGAAGGAUUAAGGGCAGGGAAGUGGCCUGGCCUGGGGCAACCAGAGUGCAUUCUGGGAAACCACCGAAGGGAGGGGCUGCCGGGAAGUGAGCGAUUCCAGGCUGGCUUUGCAGGAGGGUGGGCAGAAGCAGGAGACCAGCGCCCCCAGCACAGACCCGGCCAAGGACGUGCAGUAGCAGGGAGCUCCGAGAACACACCCGUGUCCGCGUUCCCGCGCCGCCGCCCCGCACACGCCCAUCUGAGCGCACGGCCCGCGCGUGCGCACCCGGCCGCCAGCCACAGCCCCUCGCUGGCGCGUCCAGGCGCUUGGACCUGGUGAUCCGAGCACACAGUCCAGGCUGGGAGGGGUCCCUCAUCCCCAGGGCCGUGUCCAGGCUGAGACUCAAGAAGGGACCACCUCCUUCCACCCCCCUGGGCAUUCUGCACCCACCUUCGCCACCUCUCUGUCCCUCUCCCAGAUGCCCCUCCGCCUUCUGGGCAGGGCACGCUCCCUGCAUUAUUUUAAGAGGUGAAAGUCACAGAAGGUAAAAUGAACCGCGCCAAGGUGCACAUUCACGAGGCUCUGCAACCACCUCCGACUCCAGAACAUCUUCAUCACCCCAAAACCAAGCCCGUCCAAUCCGCAGCCCCACCUGCACCCGGAUCCUCUCCUCCCCCAGCCCCUCCGCAACCACCACCUGCUCUCUCCAGGGAUCUGCCUGUUGGGAAUAUUUCAUAUACAUGGAUUUAGACAACGUG